UUCCUACGGGGCGCAGCAGUGAGGAAUAUUGGUCAAUGGGCGGGAGCCUGAACCAGCCAAGUCGCGUGAGGGAAGACGGUCCUAUGGAUUGUAAACCUCUUUAGGCGGGGAGCAAUGCCGGGCACGCGUGCCCGGAGGGAGAGUACCCGCAGAAUUAGCAUCGGCUAACUCCGUGCCAGCAGCCGCGGUAAUACGGAGGAUCCAAGCGUUAUCCGGAUUUAUUGGGUUUAAAGGGUGCGUAGGCGGUUUGAUAAGUUAGAGGUGAAAUACCGGUGCUCAACACCGGAACUGCCUCUAAUAAUGUU
rnacentral:rRNA from 1 species